rnacentral:RNase_P_RNA from 1 species
GUGCAACAGAGAGCAAACCGCCGAUGGCCCGCGCAAGCGGGAUCAGGUAAGGGUGAAAGGGUGCGGUAAGAGCGCACCGCGCGGCUGGUAACAGUCCGUGGCACGGUAAACUCCACCCGGAGCAAGGCCAAAUAGGGGUUCAUAAGGUACGGCCCGUACUGAACCCGGGUAGGCUGCUUGAGCCAGUGAGCGAUUGCUGGCCUAGAUGAAUGACUGUCCACGACAGAACCCGGCUUAUCGGUCAGUUUCACCU